rnacentral:rRNA from 1 species
UACGUAGGCGGCAAGCGUUGUCCGGAUUUACUGGGCGUAAAGAGCGCGCAGGCGGUCGUUCAAGUCGCGUGUGAAAGCCCCCCGGCUCAACUGGGGAGGGUCACGCGAUACUGAUCGACUCGAAGGCAGGAGAGGGUAGUGGAAUUCCCGGUGUAGUGGUGAAAUGCGUAGAUAUCGGGAGGAACACCAGUGGCGAAGGCGACUACCUGGCCUGUUCUUGACGCUGAGGCGCGAAAGCUAGGGGAGCAAACGGGG